rnacentral:lncRNA from 1 species
AACCAUGCCAUAGUCCUCCCUAUAUUUAACGCUAUCUUGUGGACACGUGGCGGAUGAUGCAUUGAAAAAAAAAUUAAACACACGAUGGACGGAGAUUGAUGCCUCCAUUUUAAUAUAUAUUAUAUAGAUUAUGUUGCUCUAUUGUCUAUUUUCUUUUCUUUUCUCUUUGGAUAAAGAGCCUCCAAUGUAACCCACCCCUUUCCCAACCCCAUCCUCUACCACACCAAUAACCC